rnacentral:rRNA from 1 species
GAUGAACGCUGGCGGCGUGCCUAAUACAUGCAAGUCGAGCGAACGGACGAGAAGCUUGCUUCUCUGAUGUUAGCGGCGGACGGGUGAGUAACACGUGGAUAACCUACCUAUAAGACUGGGAUAACUUCGGGAAACCGGAGCUAAUACCGGAUAAUAUUUUGAACCGCAUGAUUCAAAAGUGAAAGACGGUCUUGCUGUCACUUAUAGAUGGAUCCGCGCUGCAUUAGCUAGUUGGUAAGGUAACGGCUUACCAAGGCAACGAUGCAUAGCCGACCUGAGAGGGUGAUCGGCCACACUGGAACUGUGACACGGUCCAGACUCCUACGGGAGGCAGCAGUAGGGAAUCUUCCGCAAUGGGCGAAAGCCUGACGGAGCAACGCCGCGUGAGUGAUGAAGGCCUUCGGAUCGUAAAACUCUGUUAUUAGGGAAGAACAUAUGUGUAAGUAACUGUGCACAUCUUGACGGUACCUAAUCAGAAAGCCACGGCUAACUACGUG